rnacentral:rRNA from 1 species
AGCGAACGCUGGCGGCAGGCCUAACACAUGCAAGUCGAGCGCCCAGCAAUGGGAGCGGCAGACGGGAUAGUAACACGUGGGAACGUACCCUUCAGUUCGGAACAACCCAGGGAAACUUGGGCUAAUACCGAAUACGUCCGUAAGGAGAAAGAUUUAUCGCUGAAGGAUCGGCCCGCGUCUGAUUAGCUAGUUCGGUAAGGUAACGGCUCACCAAGGCGACGAUCAGUAGCUGGUCGAGAGGAUGAUCAGCAUCACUGGGACUGAGACACGGCCCAGACUCCUACGGGAGGCAGCAGUGGGGAAUAUUGGACAAUGGGCGCAAGCCUGAUCCAGCCAUGCCGCGUGGAUGAUGAAGGCCCUAGGGUUGUAAAGUCCUUUCGACGGGGAAGAUAAUGACGGUACCCGUAGAAGAA